UACCAAAGGAUAAUAGUAUUCCACUGG
rnacentral:tRNA from 1 species